rnacentral:rRNA from 1 species
CAGGACGAACGCUGGCGGCAUGCCUAACACAUGCAAGUCGAACGGACGAUGCCCUUCGGGGCAAAGUUAGUGGCGGACUGGUGAGUAACGCGUGAGCAACCUGCCUUUGAGAGGGGGACAACAGCUGGAAACGGCUGCUAAUACCGCAUGAUGCAGCGAGAUCGCAUGAUCUUGCUGCCAAAGAUUUAUCGCUCAAAGAUGGGCUCGCGUCCGAUUAGAUAGUUGGUGAGGUAACGGGCUCACCAAGUCAACGAUCGGUAGCCGGACUGAGAGGUCGACCGGCCACAUUGGGACUGAGAUACGGCCCAGACUCCUACGGGAGGCAGCAGUGGGGAAUAUUGCGCAAUGGAGGCAACUCUGACGCAGCAAUGCCGCGUGAAGGAUGAAGGUUUUCGGAUUGUAAACUUCUUUUGUGAGGGACGAUAAUGACGGUACCUCACGAAUAAGCCACGGCUAACUACGUG